GAUGAACGCUGGCGGCGUGCCUAAUACAUGCAAGUCGAGCGAACGGACGAGAAGCUUGCUUCUCUGAUGUUAGCGGCGGACGGGUGAGUAACACGUGGAUAACCUACCUAUAAGACUGGGAUAACUUCGGGAAACCGGAGCUAAUACCGGAUGAUAUUUUGAACCGCAUGGUUCAAAAGUGAAAGACGGUCUUGCUGUCACUUAUAGAUGGAUCCGCGCUGCUUUAGCUAGUUGGUAAGGUAACGGCUUACCAAGGCAACGAUGCAUAGCCGACCUGAGAGGGUGAUCGGCCACACUGGAACUGAGACACGGUCCAGACUCCUACGGGAGGCAGCAGUAGGGAAUCUUCCGCAAUGGGCGAAAGCCCGACGGAGCAACGCCGCGUGAGUGAUGAAGGUCUUCGGAUCGUAAAACUCUGUUAUUAGGGAAGAACAUAUGUGUAAGUAACUGUGCACAUCUUGACGGUACCUAAUCAGAAAGCCACGGCUAACUACGUG
rnacentral:rRNA from 1 species